UAAAUAUCCUACAAUCCAGGUGUGUAUAACCUGAUAAAGGCUGUACAAAAAGGGAACCCUGUGAGAUUCAGGGGUGGUCCCGCCGCUGUGAUUGGGGACGAAAGCCAUGUAUUGACCACUGGGAUAUUUAUUCCGGGAAGGUGUGGUGAGUAGGGUGAUCCAAGAGCCAGAAGACCUGCCUGGUUUAUAAGUGCAAG
rnacentral:ncRNA from 2 species